AUUGAACGCUGGCGGCAGGCCUAACACAUGCAAGUCGGACGGUAGCACAGAGAGCUUGCUCUCGGGUGACGAGUGGCGGACGGGUGAGUAAUGUCUGGGGAUCUGCCCGAUAGAGGGGGAUAACCACUGGAAACGGUGGCUAAUACCGCAUAACGUCGCAAGACCAAAGAGGGGGACCUUCGGGCCUCGCACUAUCGGAUGAACCCAGAUGGGAUUAGCUAGUAGGCGGGGUAACGGCCCACCUAGGCGACGCUCCCUAGCUGGUCUGAGAGGAUGACCAGCCACCCUGGAACUGAGACACGGUCCAGACUCCUACGGGAGGCAGCAGUGGGGUAUAUUGCACAAUGGGCGCAAGCCUGAUGCAGCCAUGCCGCGUGUAUGAAGAAGGCCUUCGGGUUGUAAAGUACUUUCAGCGGGGAGGAAGGCGAUGUGGUUAAUAACCGCAUUGAUUGACGUUACCCGCAGAAGAAGCACCGGCUAACUCCGUGCCAGCCGCCGCCGUAA
rnacentral:rRNA from 1 species